rnacentral:rRNA from 1 species
GUGCCAGCAGCCGCGGUAAUACGGAGGGUGCAAGCGUUAAUCGGAAUUACUGGGCGUAAAGCGUGCGUAGGUGGUUCUUUAAGUUGGAUGUGAAAUCCCCGGGCUCAACCUGGGAAUUGCAUUCAAAACUGGCGAGCUAGAGUAUGGUAGAGGGUGGUGGAAUUUCCUGUGUAGCGGUGAAAUGCGUAGAUAUAGGAAGGAACACCAGUGGCGAAGGC